rnacentral:rRNA from 1 species
UACGUAGGGGGCAAGCGUUGUCCGGAAUCAUUGGGCGUAAAGCGCGCGUAGGCGGCCCGGUAAGUCCGCUGUAAAAGUCAAAGGCUCAACCUUUGAAUGUCAGUGGAUACUGCCGGGCUAGAGUCCGGAAGAGGCGAGUGGAACUCCUGGUGUAGCGGUGGAAUGCGCAGAUAUCAGGAAGAACACCAACGGCGAAGGCAGCUCGCUGGGACGGAACUGACGCUAAGGCGCGAAAGCGUGGGGAGCGAACAGG